AAGUAACGGUUAAUUCCGUAAAGUACCUUUAAGGAUAAUACGCUUGCAUCGUCCGAAAUACGAAUCUAUUCGCAUCACUACUACACAAAGCCCUACUAGUGGUUGAGCGUUGGGCUCGGGUUUGAUACCUGUUGGGACAUAUCACAAAAAUUACUUUGUGGUCCCUAGUUUGGUUAGGACAUUACAGGCUGAUCACCUGAUUGUCCGAAAGUAAGCAGAACUGCUCCUUUGUCCGGGGUGAGUCGAGAAGUGGAGCUGCUCCUUUGUCUGGGGUGAGUCGGGAAGUGGAACUGCUCCUUUGUCCGGGGUGAGUCGGGAAGUGGAACUACUCCUUUGCCCGGGGUGAGUCGAGAAGUGGAGCUGCUCCUUUGUCCGGAGUGAGUCGGGAAGUGGAACUGCUCCUUUGCCCGGGGUGAGUCGGGAAGUGGAACUGCUCCUUUGCCCGGGGUGAGUCGGGAAGUGGAACUGCUCCUUUGCCCGGGGUGAGUCGGGAAAUGGAGCUGUUCCUUGCCCCCGGUGAGUCGAGAUGUGGAGCCACAUGGAGCGCGGGUGCGACGUGUGGUCAUGGAACUGAUAAUGCUCCAAAGUCCUGAAGUGUGGAGUGGCAGGGUCCAGUCAAGCUGGUAGUGGACGUGUUUUUCUCCAAUUACUUGAACCCUGACCUGUUGAGGACCAACGUGAUAAGUAGGUACUCAAUAUAGGAGGUACAUAAUGACUGUAUCUGUAGUUUACCUUGGAAUUUAACAAGAUAAGAAGGAAAAUCAAUAAAACUAUACGAGUACACAAUAUACAACUGUGCAUAAUGUUGAAAUCAUUUAUUAUGUAAUUUUCCAAUGGUGCAGCAAAUAUUCUCUUUACUUGUUAUAAAGGUCCGGUCAUCCUGAGGCUGACCUCAGACUGAUCCUGAGAUCAGUUCAGGUUCGCAUUGGUUGAGCACUAUUUCAACUUUUAAUUUGAGUUGUUGUUGAGUCAAGAGUUUUUGUAAAGGUGAAAAUUGUUUUACGAUAGAUGGAAUCUCAAUUAAAUGGCAUUAACUACUUGAUCGGGCAAAUGGGGAGCGCUGAGGGCUCUCACCUUGAACAAAAUUUAAGACAACAGGCCUGACGGUGUCCAGUUGUGCGAAACCUCGGCUCAGGGUGUCAUCUGAGAUAAUAUUUUAGCGAUAUGUGCUGAAUAAGAGAAAUUGUGUACCACGCCGGCGGGGUCGAUAUUGAAGUGACCAGGUUGGUCCUACCAGGUUUCUCUAUAUCUCUGACAUUGUACGGUUUGAUAGGCAUUAAACGUUAUCUGGACUA